UUACAUUGAAGCCUAGCGAUAUGUAAGUUAGUGGCGGACGGGUGAGUAACGCGUGAGCAACCUGCCCUGCAAAGGGGGACAACAGUUGGAAACGACUGCUAAUACCGCAUGAGACCACGGAACCGCAUGGUUUUGAGGUAAAAGGAAUUAUUUCGAUGCAGGAUGGGCUCGCGUCCCAUUAGAUAGUUGGUGAGGUAACGGCCCACCAAGUCAACGAUGGGUAGCCGACCUGAGAGGGUGAUCGGCCACACUGGAACUGAGACACGGUCCAGACUCC
rnacentral:rRNA from 1 species